ACCCUCCCCACGCUUACCACAGGUGGCUGCAACUCCAGCCGCCUGCAUAGAACGGGGAGGGAGAGCAGAGCGCAGCCUCGGGAAGCACCCCGGCCGGGGCGGCAGUGCUGCGGCCGGAUUGUGAGCGGGGGGACACGU
ensembl:snoRNA